UCGGAGUGAUGAGGUCCCGCUCCGCUGGUCCGUGUUUCUGAGGCGCCUGAUAACUCCGGGAGUUCUGACUGG